CGGGACACGUGGUAUCCUGUCUGAAUAUGGGGGGACCAUCCUCCAAGGCUAAAUACUCCUGACUGACCGAUAGUGAACCAGUACCGUGAGGGAAAGGCGAAAAGAACCCCGGCGAGGGGAGUGAAAAAGAACCUGAAACCGUGUACGUACAAGCAGUGGGAGCACGCUUAGGCGUGUGACUGCGUACCUUUUGUAUAAUGGGUCAGCGACUUAUAUUCUGUAGCAAGGUUAACCGAAUAGGGGAGCCGAAGGGAAACCGAGUCUUAACUGGGCGUUAAGUUGCAGGGUAUAGACCCGAAACCCGGUGAUCUAGCCAUGGGCAGGUUGAAGGUUGGGUAACACUAACUGGAGGACCGAACCGACUAAUGUUGAAAAAUUAGCGGAUGACUUGUGGCUGGGGGUGAAAGGCCAAUCAAACCGGGAGAUAGCUGGUUCUCCCCGAAAGCUAUUUAGGUAGCGCCUCGUGAAUUCAUCUCCGGGGGUAGAGCACUGUUUCGGCAAGGGGGUCAUCCCGACUUACCAACCCGAUGCAAACUGCGAAUACCGGAGAAUGUUAUCACGGGAGACACACGGCGGGUGCUAACGUCCGUCGUGAAGAGGGAAACAACCCAGACCGCCAGCUAAGGUCCCAAAGUCAUGGUUAAGUGGGAAACGAUGUGGGAAGGCCCAGACAGCCAGGAUGUUGGCUUAGAAGCAGCCAUCAUUUAAAGAAAGCGUAAUAGCUCACUGGUCGAGUCGGCCUGCGCGGAAGAUGUAACGGGGCUAAACCAUGCACCGAAGCUGCGGCAGCGACGCUGAUGCGUUGUUGGGUAGGGGAGCGUUCUGUAAGCCUGUGAAGGUGUGCUGUGAGGCAUGCUGGAGGUAUCAGAAGUGCGAAUGCUGACAUAAGUAACGAUAAAGCGGGUGAAAAGCCCGCUCGCCGGAAGACCAAGGGUUCCUGUCCAACGUUAAUCGGGGCAGGGUGAGUCGACCCCUAAGGCGAGGCCGAAAGGCGUAGUCGAUGGGAAACAGGUUAAUAUUCCUGUACUUGGUGUUACUGCGAAGGGGGGACGGAGAAGGCUAUGUUGGCCGGGCGACGGUUGUCCCGGUUUAAGCGUGUAGGCUGGUUUUCCAGGCAAAUCCGGAAAAUCAAGGCUGAGGCGUGAUGACGAGGCACUACGGUGCUGAAGCAACAAAUGCCCUGCUUCCAGGAAAAGCCUCUAAGCAUCAGGUAACAUCAAAUCGUACCCCAAACCGACACAGGUGGUCAGGUAGAGAAUACCAAGGCGCUUGAGAGAACUCGGGUGAAGGAACUAGGCAAAAUGGUGCCGUAACUUCGGGAGAAGGCACGCUGAUAUGUAGGUGAAGCGACUUGCUCGUGGAGCUGAAAUCAGUCGAAGAUACCAGCUGGCUGCAACUGUUUAUUAAAAACACAGCACUGUGCAAACACGAAAGUGGACGUAUACGGUGUGACGCCUGCCCGGUGCCGGAAGGUUAAUUGAUGGGGUCAGCGCAAGCGAAGCUCUUGAUCGAAGCCCCGGUAAACGGCGGCCGUAACUAUAACGGUCCUAAGGUAGCGAAAUUCCUUGUCGGGUAAGUUCCGACCUGCACGAAUGGCGUAAUGAUGGCCAGGCUGUCUCCACCCGAGACUCAGUGAAAUUGAACUCGCUGUGAAGAUGCAGUGUACCCGCGGCAAGACGGAAAGACCCCGUGAACCUUUACUAUAGCUUGACACUGAACAUUGAGCCUUGAUGUGUAGGAUAGGUGGGAGGCUUUGAAGUGUGGACGCCAGUCUGCAUGGAGCCGGCCUUGAAAUACCACCCUUUAAUGUUUGAUGUUCUAACGUUGACCCGUGAUCCGGGUUGCGGACAGUGUCUGGUGGGUAGUUUGACUGGGGCGGUCUCCUCCUAAAGAGUAACGGAGGAGCACGAAGGUUGGCUAAUCCUGGUCGGACAUCAGGAGGUUAGUGCAAUGGCAUAAGCCAGCUUGACUGCGAGCGUGACGGCGCGAGCAGGUGCGAAAGCAGGUCAUAGUGAUCCGGUGGUUCUG
rnacentral:rRNA from 1 species